UGGUGUCAAAUCAUGGCAAAGUGGCUGGACGGUGUUCAUUAAUUAUUUUUGCAUGGUCCUCGAUUGAAGCUCUGGCCCGCACUGUUGACAUUGACUUUCGGCUGAAAUAAUUCACGCUGAGGACUUGAUAUUUGAAAACUCGUCCCCUACAAUCCUCCAUAAUUGGUGGUGAAAUCACGUCUCUGUCCCUCUACUUUUUGGGGUUCCCACCAUUUACACAGUAGGCUGCAUUUGAGGGUUCAAAAUUUGCUAGAUACUUUCUCUCACUACCUUCCUUUCCCCAAGGUCGGUGUUGAAGAAACAGUUUCGAAGAUUCACACAUUUGCCGGCAUUUCCUCACCGGCGACGCAUCCGGCUACAACGGCCGCGUAGUGGAGGUGCUACACUCAAGGAGGCCAAAAUUUUCAAAGGUAUGCCGAUGUCACUACUUUGUCACAAAUAUCCCCAACUGUACCGUUUAAAUGUGCUACAAAUUUCAUUUAUCGGUUACCAAUUUUGCAGAUCUAUUGUGAUUCCACUAGUAUGUCGUAUGUGUGUUUUGUUAUGUGGUCCAUUUGAUGUUGGCUUAGAUGAGGAACCCCGGUACUACUAACGGGAUGUUGUACAUGAUGUUAGAUGAUAUAAUGCAUAUGUUGCACAUAGAAACCACCACCCUUGUUCAUAGGUACUUGAAAUGUACUAGCCGGCGGAAAAGACGCGUUUUGGUUGAGCACGCACGCAGAUACAAUGUGAUAAACAAAAUGCCGAUGCAAGUGAAGCAUCUAGACCGACUGGUAAACGUCACUGACUACGACUGCAUAGCAAAUCUACGAAUGGACCAGAACACUUUCGAUCGUCUUUGUCGUGUUCUAGCAGUUCGAUCUAGGUUAAAGACUGAAAAAUGUGUUGGGGUGGAAGAACAAGUGGCAAUGUUCCUUGGUGUAUUGGCACACCAUCAGAAAAACCGCGUGGUGAAAUUUCAGUUUUAGAGGUCCGGGUCGACUGUAUCGCAUUACGUCAACAAAGUUUUGGCCGCAGUUUUAAACCUACAUGGGGUUUUGUUGUCUCCUCCAUUGCCGGUCGCAGGUGAUUGUGUCGACUAUAGUUGGAAGUGGUUCAAGGUGCGGUAAAUGCAUCUCACCAUUGAUUUGCUUAUGUUGUUCUUACUUGCGAUGUAUACCGUUGUUCCAUCAAAGUCGCUGCCAAGAUUUCUUCU